GGUCAGCUGACACAUCCCGGCCAAUCUCCAUCAGACCCUCCCUCCCAGACCCUCCUACUUCCUGGACAGCAUCCACGUUUGUUGAACAUGGAUGCUGUCCAGGAAGUAGGAGGGUCUGGGAGGGAGGGUCUGCUAGAGAUUGGCCGGGAUGUGUCAGCUGA
rnacentral:miRNA from 1 species